AGCAGGGUAGCCUAAUAGGCGUGGGAAUGAGGAGACCUGGGUUCUAAUCCCAGCUCUGCCA
rnacentral:tRNA from 1 species